rnacentral:lncRNA from 1 species
GCCUAGUGCCCUACUUUGACCAGGGUGCUGGGUGCUAGUGCCCUACUUUGACCAGGUGCUGGGGGCUAGUCACUUGAUGAGGUCUAGUGCCCUACUUUGACCAGGGUGCGGGGUCUAGUGGCCCUACUUUGACCAGGGUGCUGGGUGCUGGGGGCUAGUGCCCUACUUUGACCAGGGUGCUGGGGGCAGUGCCCUACUUGACCAGGGUGCUAGGGCUAGUGCCCUAUUUGACCAGGGUGCUGGGGGC